rnacentral:rRNA from 1 species
GAUGAACGCUAGCUACAGGCUUAACACAUGCAAGUCGAGGGGCAGCAUGGAACUUAGCUUGCUAAGUUCCGAUGGCGACCGGCGCACGGGUGAGUAACACGUAUCCAACCUACCGUUUACUACGGGAUAGCCUUCUGAAAAGGAGAUUAAUACCGUAUGGCAUUCUAAAGUUUCAUGACAUUAGAAUUAAAGGUUUACCGGUAAUCGAUGGGGAUGCGUUCCAUUAGAUAGUAGGCGGGUAACGGCCCACCUAGUCAGCGAUGGAUAGGGGUUCUGAGAGGAAGGUCCCCCACAUUGGAACUGAGACACGGUCCAAACUCCUACGGGAGGCAGCAGUGAGGAAUAUUGGUCAAUGGGCGCGAGCCUGAACCAGCCAAGUAGCGUGAAGGAUGACUGCCCUAUGGGUUGUAAACUUCUUUUAUAAAGGAAUAAAGUGGUCCACGUGUGGAUUUUUGUAUGUACUUUAUGAAUAAGGAUCGGCUAACUCCGUG